rnacentral:rRNA from 1 species
CCUGGUGGCCAUAGCGGGGUGACCAACACCCGAUCCCAUCCCGAACUCGGCCGUGAAAAACCCCUGCGCCUAUGGUACUGCGUCUCAAGACGCGGGAGAGUCGGUCGCCGCCAGGU